UGAGUUUCCCUGCCUGGCUGGUCCCUGCCAUGUGCCUGGAGAGGCCCAGGUGGCUGCUUUGCUUCCUUGCUGAGGUUCCAGGACUUGCUUGGAGUGGGGAACCUUUGAAUCAGCUUGGCUGAAGCUCCUGGGAUCUCCAGUUUCCCCUGAGCUGCUCUGCUGCCAGCCUGUGGAGGAAUUGCUUUUACCAUACCAUUAAGAGCAGACUACAGGAACUCCAAUUCCAUCUGACAUCUCCUGCCAGAGUGAGACCCAUCCUGAUGUGCAACAUCCAUUGCUGUGCUGCAGGAACCCUUGGAACUGCCAGGAUGGCAACACUGAUUUACCCUUUGUAAAAAUUAAUGGAUUUCCCCCCCUUUUUUCUCUUUUU